UGAUUCUUAUGCAUGAUAAAGGUUCAGAACCACUAGUGUGAAAGGCAUCAAAGGAAGAAAAGAAAGGUUAUAAGGAAGGCAACUAGACACUAACACAUCAGAAUACAAUUUUUUAAAAUUAUGAUCAUAGAAUCUCAUCAGGGUAGAAGUUGAAGAUGAAAAAAAGCAAGAACUCAAAAGAAUAAUUACUUUCUUACAGCCUAAGCCAGAUGUGUGAAGUCUUUCCUUCUAAACUUCCUAUUGGCACAAAACUAUCUGACUCUUACAAAGCUUCUAUCACCUUAGUAGCAGGGUCCACAGUGUCCUUUGUCGGUGCUGCUUUUUAAAGAGUUGAGGAGUGCUGAAAGAAAGAAAGGGACUCUCAAAUGUAAACUUCAUCUACCAGGAGGAAAAAGUAAGAGUAAGAAGAAACAUUUCUAUUUUGGCCAUUUGUCUUUCCACCCUAAUUGUGGACACCCUGGUCACAAUCAGUUUACCUGGGAGCAAAAGACUCGCAGGAGCAAAAAAUUCAUUUUGGAUCAAAAGAUCCACAAGAUCACCAACUGUGCAAUUUGUGGUGCCCCAGUCAAACAGUAAUUCAGAAGUGGGACUUUUUCCAGUUUGAAGUAAUGCUUCAAAUCUCCUUAAAAGAUCUAGUUUGAGGCACUAAGAAGAAUAAGACAGUUUGAAAAGAACCUCUACCACAGCAACAUGAAUUCUGCUAAAAGUGAAGCAAGAACAAACACCACAUUUAUAUGGAGGUUGGUUGGAAGAAUGGUGAAAUCACUGAUGCUUUAUUGAUGGGGACGAUGCCCCCAAGAAAACCAGCAGCAUACAAAUCAGUAACUCAUAUUAAGGGAUGAGAUGAUGUUGAAGAUGAAGCCUGCUGCAGCAGACCAUCCACAUCAAUUUUUGAGGAAAACAUUCACCUGGUUCGUGCCCUAAAUGAAGAGUACCUAUAAUUAACAGCAGAACCAACAGCAAACACCAUAGACAACUAAUUCAGCCUAUACAAUUCUGACUGAAAAUAAAAGUUGAGCAAAUUUUCCACUUGAUGGCUGCCCAAACUGUUGCACCCAGAUCAGCUGCAGAUGACAGCAGAGCUUUCAAUGGAAAUUUUAAACAAGUGGGAUCAAGAUCCUAAAGCAUUUCCUCAAAAAAUUGUAACAGGAGAUGAAACGUGACUUUACGAGUAUGAUCUUAAAGCACAAAGCAAUGGCUCCCCCAGAAUGGCAGCGGUCCAAUCAAAGCAAAUGCAGACAGUCAAAAGCAAGGGCAUGACCGCAGCUUUUUGGGAUGCUCAAGGUAUUUUUGCUUGUUGACUUUCUGGAGGUAAAAAGAAUGGUAACAUCUGCUUAUUAGAGAGUGUUUUCGAGAAACAGUAGCUUUUCUAAAUGUUUCUAAACUAAAGCUUUUCUGCUAAAGCUUUAGUCAAAUGUUUAGCAGAAAAACGCCUAGGAAAGCUUCUCCAUCACAACAAUGCCCCUCCUCUUUUCUUUCAUCAAACAAGGGCAAUUCUGUGAGUAUCAACUGGAAAUCAUCAGGCAUCCACUUUACAGUCCUGAUUUGUCUCCUUCUGACUUCUUUUUGUUUCCUAAUCUUGAAAACUCUUCAUAGGGCACCCAUUUUUCUUCAGUUAAUAAUGCAAAAAGGCUUUAUUGACAUGGUUAAAUUCCCAGGACUCUCAGUUCUUUAGGGAUGGCCCAAAUGGCUGGUGUUAUCACUUACAAAAGUGCCUUGAACUUCAUGGAGCUUAUGUUCAGAAAUAAAGUUUACAGUUUUUUGUUU